rnacentral:rRNA from 1 species
UGAAGGUAGUAAGGGCAUGCAGUGGAUGCCUAGGCGGCGAGAGGCGAAGAAGGGCGUGGCAAGCUGCGAAAAGCCCGGGGGAGCUGCAAGCGAGCGUUGAUCCCGGGAUACCCGAAUGGGGCAACCUGUGCACGUGAAAGCGUGCACGCCGAGAGGCGCGAGACCCGGGGAAGUGAAACAUCUCAGUACCCGGAGGAAAAGAAAUCAAACGAGAUUCCCUGAGUAGAGGCGAUCGAAAGGGGAGGAGCCUAAACCAGCCGAAAGGCUGGGGUUGUGGGACACAGUUAGGCUGAGUCCGCUCCGUAAUCACUCAUAGCUGAACAGUCUGGGAAGGCUGACCGAAGAGGGUGACAGUCCCGUAGGCGAAAUGAGUGAUGAAGGAGUGACUGUGAUCCCGAGUAGCGCGGGACUCGAGGAAUCCCGCGUGAAUCAGGGGGGACCACCCUCCAAGGCUAAAUACUCCUCGCCGACCGAUAGCGCAACCAGUACCGUGAGGGAAAGGUGAAAAGCCCCCCGGAAGGGGAGUGAAAGAGACCUGAAACUGCAUGCCUACAAGAAGUCGGAGCCCGCGAGGGUGACGAUGUGCCUUUUGAUUAAUGAGCCUGGGAGUUAUCGCUGCUGGCGAGGUUAAGCCGAUAAAGGCGGAGCCGGAGCGAAAGCGAGUCCGAAUAGGGCGCGAGUCAGUAGCGAUAGACCCGAAGCCGGGUGAGCUACCCAUGGGCAGGAUGAAGGUGGGGUAAAACCCACUGGAGGUCCGAACCGGUGGAUCGUGAAAAAUCCUCGGAUGACCUGUGGGUAGGAGUGAAAAGCUAACCGAACUCGGUGAUAGCUGGUUCUCCCCGAAAUGCAUUGAGGUGCAGCCUCAGGAGUUCUGUGGUGGAGGUAGAGCGCUGGUAGGGCUAGUGGGGUAACCUGCGAACCCUGUCAAACUCCGAAUGCCGCCACACGAGAUCCUGGGAGUGAGCCCGUGAGGGAUAAGCUUCACGGACGAGAGGGGAACAACCCAGACCGUCGGCUAAGGGCCCGGAGAGGUGGCUAAGUGUGAAGAGGAAGGAUGUGGUGUGGCCCAGACAACCGGGAUGUUGGCUUAGAAGCAGCCAUCAUUUAAAGAGUGCGUAACAGCUCACCGGUCGAGCCGCACUGCGCCGAAAAUGUGCGGGGCUGAAGCCACCCCCCGAAGCCACGGAAUCUACCGUUAGGUAGAUUGGUAGGGGAGCGUUCCGCGGUAGGGAGAAGGUAGACUCGAGAGAGCUACUGGACGAAGCGGAAGUGAGAAUCCAGGCAUGAGUAUACGAGAGGAUGGUGAGAAUCCAUCCCCCCGAAAGCCUAAGGGUACCUGGGGAAGGGUCGUCCGCCCAGGGUAAGUCGGGACCUAAGGAAAACCCGAAAGGGGUAUCCGAUGGGAAACCGGUUAAUAUUCCGGUACCACCGGCUAACCGAUACUGCAAGCGGGGACGCAGGAGGCUAAGCUCCGGGGAUAAGUGGCAAAUCCCUCCAAGCGGUUAGGCGAAGAGGGCUGUAGGUAAGUCCGCAGCCUGAGCUGAGCCGUGAAGGGGAGACUCCGAAAGGGGUCAACGGAGCUGACGCCACACUGCCAAGAAAAGCCGCGUGUAGUGGUUAGCAGGUGCCCGUUCCGCAAACCGACACAGGUAGGCGGGCUGAAAAAGCUAAGGGGAGCGGGAUAACCCUUGCCAAGGAACUCGGCAAAUUGACCCCGUAACUUCGGGAGAAGGGGUGCCACGGUAGGUUGAAGUCAGGGGAAGCCGCGAGGUGGAAACUGACGGAGGCCGAGGUGGUCGCAGAGAAAUGGCCCUGGCGACUGUUUACCAAAAACACAGGUCUCUGCCAACUCGAUGAGAGGAAGUAUAGGGACUGACGCCUGCCCGGUGCCGGAAGGUUAAGGGGAGGGGUGCAAGCUCCGAACCGAAGCCCCGGUAAACGGCGGCCGUAACUAUAACGGUCCUAAGGUAGCGAAAUUCCUUGUCGGGUAAGUUCCGACCUGCAUGAAUGGCGUAACGACUGGGGCACUGUCUCGGCAGGGGACCCGGUGAAAUUUCAGUCUGGGUGAAGAUGCCCAGUACCCGCAGCUAGACGGAAAGACCCCGUGGAGCUUUACUGUAACCUGGUAUUGUGCUCUGUUGCGGCGUGUACAGGAUAGGUGGGAGGCGAAGAAGCGUGCUCGCCAGGGCACGUGGAGCCGGCGGUGGGAUACCACCCUCGUUGCAGCGGAGUUCUAACCUACGCAUGUGGAGAGCAUGCGAGGGACAGUGCCAGGUGGGCAGUUUGACUGGGGCGGUCGCCUCCUAAAGAGUAACGGAGGCGCGCAAAGCUCGGCUCAGGUGGGUUGGAAAUCCACCGUUGAGUGCAAGGGCAAAAGCCGGGCUGACUGCGAGACCGACGGGUCGAGCAGAGGGGAAACCCGGUCCUAGUGACCCGGCGACUCCGAGUGGAAGGGUCGUCGAUCAACGGACAAAAGUUACCCCGGGGAUAACAGGCUAGUCUAGCCCGAGAGUUCACAUCGACGGCUAGGCUCGGCACCUCGAUGUCGGCUCAUCCCAUCCUGGGGCUGAAGCAGGUCCCAAGGGUUAGGCUGUUCGCCUAUUAAAGGGGUACGUGAGCUGGGUUCAGACCGUCGUGAGACAGGUCGGUCCCUAUCUGCUGCGGGCGUAGGAGGCUUGAGGAGGGUCGCCCUUUGUACGAGAGGACCAGGGUGAGGGAGCCACUGGUGUACCAGCUGUACUGCCAAGUGCAUACGCUGGGUAGCUACGCUCCUGAGCGAUAACCGCUGAAAGCAUCUAAGCGGGAAGCGCGCUCCGAGAUGAGGCCUCCAUAAGGCCGGUCCGAGAAGAGGACCUAGAUAGGCUGGUGGUGGAAGCGCCGAGAGGCGUGGAGCCAACCGGUACUAAUAGGCCGAAACCUUCACCUU